UACAGAGGUCUCAAGCGUUGUUCGGAUUCAUUGGGCGUAAAGGCGCGUAGGCGGCGGGGUAAGUCGGGUGUGAAAUCUCAGGGCUCAACCCUGAAACUGCACUCGAUACUGCUCUGCUUGAGGACUGGAGAGGAGACUGGAAUUCACGGUGUAGCAGUGAAAUGCGUAGAUAUCGUGAGGAAGACCAGUGGCGAAGGCGGGUCUCUGGACCAGUUCCUG
rnacentral:rRNA from 1 species